AUUGAACGCUGGCGGCAGGCCUAACACAUGCAAGUCGAGCGGAGCGGCGGACGGGUGCGUAAUGCCUAGGAAUCUGCCUGGUAGUGGGGGAUAACGUCCGGAAACGGGCGCUAAUACCGCAUACUCUCAGAUGAGCCUAGGGCGGAUUAGCUAUUUGGUGGGGUAAAGGCCUACCAAGGCGACGAUCCCUAGCUGUUCUGAGAGGAUGACCAGCCACACUGGAACUGAGACACGGUCCAGACGCCUACGGGAGGCAGCAGUGGGGAAUAUUGCACAAUGGGCGCAAGCCUGAUGCAGCCAUGCCGCGUGUAUGAAGAAGGCCUUCGGGUUGUAAAGUACUUUCAGCGGGGAGGCGUUACCCGCAGAAGAAGCACCGGCUAACUCCGUGCCAGCCGCCGCGGUAAUAC
rnacentral:rRNA from 1 species